CAAGGAAUUUUCCGCAAUGGGGGCAACCCUGACGGAGCAACGCCGCGUGCGGGAUGACGCUUUUCGGAGUGUAAACCGCUUUUCUCGGGGAGGAUGGAGGACAGUACCCGAGGAAUCAGGCCCGGCUAACUACGUGCCAGCAGCCGCGGUAAUACGUAGGGGCCGAGCGUUGUCCGGAGUUACUGGGCGUAAAGCGCGCGCAGGCGGCCUCGCGCGCCCGACGUGAAAGCCCCCGGCUUAACCGGGGAGAGUCGUUGGGGACGGCGGGGCUUGAGGGCGGGAGAGGUCGGUGGAAUUCCCGGUGUAGUGGUGAAAUGCGUAGAGAUCGGGAGGAACACCUGUGGCGAAGGCGGCCGACUGGGCCGACCCUGACGCUGAGGCGCGAAGGCGUGGUGAGCGAACGGGAUUAGAUACCCCGGUAGUCCACGCAGUAAACGAUGCAGACUAGGCGUGGGGGACUUGACCCCCUCCGUGCCGGAGCUAACGCGGGAAGUCUGCCGCCUGGGGAGUACGGCCGCAACGGCUAAAACUCAAAGG
rnacentral:rRNA from 1 species